GACGAACGCUGGCGGCGUGCCUAAUACAUGCAAGUCGCGCGGACGAAUCGAAAGCUUGCUUUUGAUUCGUUAGCGGCGGACGGGUGAGUAACACGUGGGCAACCUGACCUGUAGACGGGGAUAACACCGAGAAAUCGGUGCUAAUACCGGAUAACACGAAAUGUCGCAUGACGUUUCGUUGAAAGACGGCGCAAGCUGUCGCUACAGGAUGGGCCCGCGGCGCAUUAGCUAGUUGGUGAGGUAACGGCUCACCAAGGCGACGAUGCGUAGCCGACCUGAGAGGGUGAUCGGCCACACUGGGACUGAGACACGGCCCAGACUCCUACGGGAGGCAGCAGUAGGGAAUCUUCCGCAAUGGACGAAAGUCUGACGGAGCAACGCCGCGUGAGCGAAGAAGGCCUUCGGGUCGUAAAGCUCUGUUGUUAGGGAAGAACAAGUAACGCAGUAACUGGCGUUACCGUGACGGUACCUAACGAGAAAGCCACGGCUAACUACGUG
rnacentral:rRNA from 1 species